rnacentral:rRNA from 1 species
GACGAACGCUGGCGGCGUGCUUAACACAUGCAAGUCGAACGAAGUGGCGAACGGGUGAGUAACGCGUAAUCAACCUGCCCUUCAGAGGGGGUCAACAGUUGGAAACGACUGCUAAUACCGCAUACGGAAGGAGGGGAUUGCGCCUGAUGUGCUAGUUGGAGGGGUAACGGCCCACCAAGGCGAUGAUCAGUAGCCCAGCUGAGAGGAUGAACGGCCACAUUGGGACUGAGACACGGCCCAGACUCCUACGGGAGGCAGCAGUGGGGAAGCUUCCGCAAGGGACGAAAGGCUGGCGGAGCAACGCCGAGUGAGUGAUGACGGCCUGCGGGUUUUAAAGCUCUGUUAAUCGGGACGCAGUACCGGAAUAGUAAGCCACGGCUAACUACGUGCCAGCAGCCGCGGUAAUUC